AUUGAACGAUGGCGGCAUGCCUUACACAUGCAAGUCGAACGGCAGCAUGGAGAGCUUGCUCUCUGAUGGCGAGUGGCGAACGGGUGAGUAAUGCAUCGGAACGUACCGUGUAAUGGGGGAUAACGUAGCGAAAGUUACGCUAAUACCGCAUACGACCUGAGGGUGAAAGCAGGGGAUCGCAAGACCUUGCGUUAUACGAGCGGCCGAUGUCAGAUUAGGUAGCUGGUGAGGGAAAGGCUCACCAAGGCGACGAUCUGUAGCGGGUCUGAGAGGAUGAUACGCGUAGCUGGGACUGAGACACGGCCCAGCCUCCGACGGGAGGCAGCAGUGGGGAAUUUUGAACAAUGGGCGCAACCCGGAUCCAGCCAUGCCGCUGGGGUGAAGAAGGCCUUCGGGUUGUAAAGCUCUUUCGGCCGGGAAGAAAUCGCACAGGCUAAUACUCUGAGUGGAUGACGGUACCGGCAUAAGAAGCACCGGCUAACUACGUGCCCGCCGCCGCGGUAA
rnacentral:rRNA from 1 species